UACGUAGGGGGCAAGCGUUAUCCGGAUUUACUGGGUGUAAAGGGAGCGUAGGCGGCAUGGCAAGUCAGAUGUGAAAGCCCGGGGCUCAACCCCGGGACUGCAUUUGAAACUGUCAAGCUAGAUUGCAGGAGAGGUAAGUGGAAUUCCUAGUGUAGCGGUGAAAUGCGUAGAUAUUAGGAGGAACACCAGUGGCGAAGGCGGCUUACUGGACUGUAAAUGACGCUGAGGCUCGAAAGCGUGGGGAGCAAACAGG
rnacentral:rRNA from 1 species